GCUACCAUGUAAACAUGGAAAUCAUGCAACCAUCAGAAUAAAAGAACCUAUCAGAUGCACAUAUCAAAUCAUGCAACCAUCAGAAUAAAAGAUUUUUACAGUUCUAUCACCAUAGUCAUGUCAUUAAAAAGAGACAUAUCCUACAUAAACAUAUAUAUCAAGCCUAAACAAGUAGUAAACAUGUUUACACCCCAUGAGCAGCCAAGAAGCAAGAAGCAAUAGCCAGUACUACUGCCUCAAGCCCUUGAACACAAAAAGGCGAGAACUGGAUGCAGAGGUUUAUCGAUCGAUUCCCGCGUUGUCGUUGGCUGCAACAAGGACCAAAAAGAAGAAAAAAAAAGAACACCCUCUCAAAGAAAUUCGCCGCUCCUGGAUCAGCGCCACAAGGCAGGGAAGGGAUCGAUAAACCACUGCGCCCAGGCAUCACCACCAACCCCCCACCCCCACCUGCGAACAUGAUGGAUUAGCGCAAGAAACCGGAACAAAACAAGAACGGAACACAGAGCCACCUGCAAGAUCGGGCACGAACGAACACUCGUGGGUGUGAAUCUGUGUUUCUCGUGUGUGCAAUGAGGAAGG
rnacentral:precursor_RNA from 1 species